GCUGAAGUGGCGGAAUCGGCAGACGCGCACGGUUUAGGACCGUGUCCCAUUACCGGGGUGUGGGUUCAACUCCCACCUUCAGCA
rnacentral:tRNA from 1 species